rnacentral:rRNA from 1 species
GAUGAACGCUGGCGGCGUGCCUAAUACAUGCAAGUCGAGCGAACGGACGAGAAGCUUGCUUCUCUGAUGUUAGCGGCGGACGGGUGAGUAACACGUGGAUAACCUACCUAUAAGACUGGGAUAACUUCGGGAAACCGGAGCUAAUACCGGAUAAUAUUUUGAACCGCAUGGUUCAAAAGUGAAAGACGGUCUUGCUGUCACUUAUAGAUGGAUCCGCGCUGCAUUAGCUAGUUGGUAAGGUAACGGCUUACCAAGGCAACGAUGCAUAGCCGACCUGAGAGGGUGAUCGGCCACACUGGAACUGAGACACGGUCCAGACUCCUACGGGAGGCAGCAGUAUGGAAUCUUCCGCAAUGGGCGAAAGCCUGACGGAGCAACGCCGCGUGAGUGAUGAAGGUCUUCGGAUCGUAAAACUCUGUUAUUAGGGAAGAACAUAUGUGGAAGUAACUGUGCAUAUCUUGACGGUACCUAAUCAGAAAGCCACGGCUAACUACGUG